AGCCAUACCACCCUGAACGUGCCUGAUCUCGUCUGAUCUCGGAAGCUAAGCAGGAUCGGGCCUGGUUAGUACCUGGAUGAGAGAAAGGAGAUAGCU
ensembl:rRNA 5S_rRNA 5S ribosomal RNA